rnacentral:rRNA from 1 species
GAUGAACGCUAGCGACAGGCUUAACACAUGCAAGUCGAGGGGCAGCAUAAAAGUAGCAAUACUUUGGUGGCGACCGGCGCACGGGUGAGUAACGCGUAUGCAACCUACCUAUCAGAGGGGAAUAACCCGGCGAAAGUCGGACUAAUACCGCAUAAAACAGGGGCACCGCAUGGUGAUAUUUGUUAAAGAAAUUCGCUGAUAGAUGGGCAUGCGUUCCAUUAGGUAGUUGGUGAGGUAACGGCCCACCAAGCCGACGAUGGAUAGGGGAACUGAGAGGUUGGUCCCCCACACGGGUACUGAGACACGGACCAGAAUCCUACGGGAGGCAGCAGUGAGGAAUAUUGGUCAAUGGGCGGGAGCCUGAACCAGCCAAGUCGCGUGAAGGAAGAAGGAUCUAUGGUUCGUAAACUUCUUUUGCAGGGGAAUAAAGUGCAGGACGUGUCCUGUUUUGUAUGUACCCUGAGAAUAAGGAUCGGCUAACUCCGUGCCAGCCGCCGCGGUAA